CUCACACAGCCAAAACGUCAAGCCAAACUUACCAUUUACUGCCGUUACUCAAUUUUUAUGUUACAGUGAGACCAGCAUGCAUGCUAACCCCUAGCUCAUAAAACAAUUUAGCAGGUGUUCGGGUGGUAAGUAACAGCGUGACGAGUAAAGAUACCAUGGCUCACCACUGCAAAAUGACCGGGUGCCCGAAGAGUAAUAUUAAUAUUAAAAUACAACAUUAUCAGAUACUUCAUGUACUUACUGAACAGUGUAACCGUUAAAAGUUGAGAUGUAGCUCUAUCUUCAGCAGACCGAUUGACACGCAGCAGUGCGGUGCUGUACGGUGUAGGGGGGCGACGUUAACACUUGAGGUGUGAAAUACAGGAUCAGAGUUUAGAGUAAGAAUUUCGGAGUUAAUAUUUAAAUAUUUACACUUACAGGUUUGAUUGAGUGACACUUCCUUUUUACACUCGGUAACUCAACUAUUUAUCGACUGAGAGUUAAUUAUAAUGGAUUAACUCUAUCCAGAGUACAAUUAACUCUACUAGUGUAUGUCUAGUUUAACACCAUGAAUUCAACUCUUCUCAAUUUGCUGUGUACCUAUCCGAGGCAGGUACUUUCUGAGCUGCUACCUGAGCCGCUAACUGGUGAAGUCGUGUGGAUCUUGGGUGGAUCCUCUCUCACAAGCCACACCCAUAGCGGCUCACUAGAGGGAAAGGACCUAAUGGAAACGUGUCUUAUGUCACAUCUGGUCAUAACGUCGUCCUCAGGCAGAGGAGUGUCCAGGUGGCACACCACGGCAGACACCUGCAGGUUCCUUUCCUGGCAGAGGCUCCUUUGGCUUGACCUGGCAUUUCAACCAACACACCUGGCAGAGUUAACUAGUGGGAAGCCAGUGAAGGGAUCAUGUCCAAGGUCCUACAUUGGGAGCUCUGGAUGAGGAUUUAUCUGAAUUCCCCUGGAAACUUCUGUGAUCCCUUCAUGUUGCUGCUGCAGCUGUCAGGGAGCAGCUUACAUAUCACUCACAUGUCAUCAUGGGGGCAUGUUUUAUUCUAUACAUGUCAAGGACUGAGAAUAGUUCUGCUCUGAUGCUUGUACCAGCAGCACCAUUUUAAGCCACUAAAGUGUUUCAAAGUCAAAAGCAGGGCAUGUUGAGUACACAUGCACAACUUUUGUGUGUAUGAGGGAGAAAUAAAUACCAAAUCUGGUUGUGAUUAAUGCCACCGCCUUACUGGAUAUGAAUCCUUGAGCACAAAUAUUAUUUCCUUCACUGUGUUCAGUAAACAAUAAAAUGUGAAGCCACAAAAAGCAAUGGUGCGCCAAGGAAAGAAAUCUUUGUUAUCAGCAAACUUCAGAGACAGGAUAAUGAUCAUGGUGAGAAUCUUCUAUGGAAUAA